rnacentral:rRNA from 1 species
AUCACCGAUGCCUUUGGUACCAACGCAUCAGGCGUGUCCGACAUGGACCGCUGGUGGCAGGUCUUGGAGCGCAGCCGCCACACCAUCCACCGGAGCUGUGAGGAAUUGGAGCCCCGGAUGUUCGGCCUCCUAUCCGAUCUCUUCCGGAAGCCCUCCGUCGCCGCCGGGAUCCUGCUACCGGGGCCGCCGGACGACCGUGACGAAGACCACCGGCAGAGCAGCUCAGGCGCCGUCGCCCGUCCGCAGGUCCUGCGAUGGCUCGAUGACCAGCCUCCCAAGUCUGUCAUCUACGUUGCGCUGGGAAGCAAGGCGCCGCUGACGCCAGAGAACGCCCAUGAACUCGCGCUCGGCCAGGAGCUCGCCGGCGUGCGCUUCCUCUGGGCGCUACGCAAGCCGGCGGGCACCAGCAACGGCGACGAGCUUCUGUUGCCAGCCGGGUUCGAGGAGCGGACGCGGGACCGCGGGGUGGUUUGCACGGGGUGGGUGCCGCAGGUGGAGGCGCUGGCUCACUGCGCCACGGGCGCGUUCCUGAUGCACUGUGGCUGGGGCUCCACCAUCGAGAGCCUCUCCUUCGGGAUCCCGCUGGUCAUGCUCCCGUUCGUCGUCGACCAGCCCCUGAUCGCGCGGGCGAUGGCAGAGAGAGGGAUCGGCGUGGAGGUGGCGAGGGACGAGAAGGACGGUUCGUUUGACUGGGACGGCGUGGCGGUGGCGGUGCGGCGCGUCAUGGUGGAGGAGCAGGGUAAGGUGUUGGCGACCAACGCCAAGAAGCUGCAGGAGGUUCUAGUCGACCAGGGACGCCAGGAGCACUACAUCCAAGAGGUCGAGGAGCAUCUGAAACGCUUCAAAGACGUCUAA